GUGAAUCAUCAAAUUUUUGAACGCAAAUUGCACUCUCGGGUAUUCCGGAGAUAAUGCCUGUUUGAGGGUCGUUUUAAAUAAAAAUCGGUGUGUUUGCUGCCUUUCUGGUUGAGGCACCGGAUUUGGUUGGCCUUGCCUUGGGUUAAGGGACCUAAAAUUUUGCAUGAUUUUUUUCGAACGUAUUUAAAUGAUUUUACUUACUUUUGCGAUUUCGAAUACU
rnacentral:misc_RNA from 1 species